ensembl:snoRNA C/D box small nucleolar RNA (snoRNA); guides 2'-O-methylation of large subunit (LSU) rRNA at position U1888
UUUUAUGAUGAAUUUAUGUUUUCAAUCUUAUCUACAUUAUCUGAAUUAAUAGCUAACAAUAGUUAUAAUGGAAGAUAUACGACUAUCAACAAUUCUGAAA